AGAGUUUGAUCAUGGCUCAGAUUGAACGCUGGCGGCAUGCUUUGCACAUGCAAGUCGAACGGUAACGCGGGUUUCGGCCUGGCGACGAGUGGCGAACGGGUGAGUAACACAUCGGAACGUGCCCGGGAGUGGGGGAUAACCUCGAGAAAUCGAGGCUAAUACCGCAUACGUCCUGAGGGAGAAAGCGGGGGACCGGUAACGGCCUCGCGCUCACGGAGCGGCCGAUGUCCGAUUAGCUUGUUGGUGGGGUGACGGCUCACCAAGGCGACGAUCGGUAGCUGGUCUGAGAGGAUGAUCAGCCACACUGGGACUGAGACACGGCCCAGACUCCUACGGGAGGCAGCAGUGGGGAAUUUUGGACAAUGGGGGCAACCCUGAUCCAGCCAUGCCGCGUGAGUGAAGAAGGCCUUCGGGUUGUAAAGCUCUUUCGGCCGGAACGAAAUCGCCCGGGUGAAUAAUCCGGGUGGAUGACGGUACCGGAAGAAGAAGCACCGGCUAACUACGUGCCAGCAGCCGCGGUAAUACGUAGGGUGCGAGCGUUAAUCGGAAUUACUGGGCGUAAAGCGUGCGCAGGCGGCUCUUCAAGUCAGGUGUGAAAGCCCCGGGCUUAACCUGGGAAUUGCGCUUGAAACUGGGGGGCUAGAGUGUGGCAGAGGGAGGUGGAAUUCCUGGUGUAGCGGUGAAAUGCGUAGAUAUCAGGAGGAACACCGAUGGCGAAGGCAGCCUCCUGGGCCAACACUGACGCUCAGGCACGAAAGCGUGGGGAGCAAACAGGAUUAGAUACCCUAGUAGUCC
rnacentral:rRNA from 1 species